GCACAAGCGGUGGAGCAUGUGGUUUAAUUCGAUGAUACGCGAGGAACCUUACCUGGGCUCAAAUGUAUGUUGACGUAUUCUGAAAGGGAUACUUCUUCGGACAAUAUACAAGGUGCUGCAUGGUUGUCGUCAGCUCGUGCCGUGAGGUGUCGGGUUAAGUCCCAUAACGAGCGCAACCCCUACCUUUAGUUGCCAUCAGGUAAUGCUGGGGACUCUAAAGGAACUGCCUACGCAAGUAGUGAGGAAGGCGGGGAUGACGUCAAAUCAGCACGGCCCUUACGUCCAGGGCUACACACGUGCUACAAUGGCCGAUACAGAGGGCAGCUACCUGGUGACAGGAUGCAAAUCUCCAAAGUCGGUCUCAGUUCGGAUCGGAGUCUGCAACCCGACUCCGUGAAGUUGGAUUCGCUAGUAAUCGCGCAUCAGCCAUGGCGCGGUGAAUACGUUCCCGGGCCUU
rnacentral:rRNA from 1 species